CGGGGGGGGGGGGGGGGUCCG
rnacentral:miRNA from 1 species